AUGAUGCUCCCCAAGGAGUGGGGUGGGUUAGGGUUCAGAGAUCUACAUGCUUUCAACAUAUCGAUGCUCGCCCGACAGAUUUGGCGCCUCGUCCAAUUUCCAGAGUCACUCUGUGCACGGGUACUGCAGGCUAAAUAUUUCCCUGGGGGGGAUGUGCUCAAUGCUACGGCCCAGCCAGGUAUGAGUUAUGUGUGGCGGAGUCCGCUGCAGGGUUUGGAGGUGAUCAAGGCUGGGAUGAUCUGGCGGGUGGGUUCAGGGGAACAUAUACAGAUUUGGUCUGAUCCGUGGCUACCUACAAAUGACACAAGACGACCCAGAUCACUCCAGGGAGGUGUUCUUCUCACUAAGGUGGCCGAUCUCAUCGAUCCAACAACUAAUCAAUGGGAUGUUAAUCUUGUUAAGCAAUCAUUCUGCAAAACGGAUGCUCAAGCUAUCCUGCAAAUACCCCUAUGUGAACAAUAUGAUGACUUCAUAGCCUGGCACUUUGAUAGUAAAGGUUUGUUCUCCGUGAGGUCCGCUUAUAGAGUAUACGCCGACUCCUUGAAUAAGCAAUAG
rnacentral:rRNA from 1 species